rnacentral:rRNA from 1 species
CCUUCGGGGUGCGCAGGCGCGAAAACUUUACAAUGCGGGAAACCGUGAUAAGGGGACACCGAGUGCCAGCAUCAUAUGCUGGCUGUCCGGGUGUGUAAAAUACACCCGUUAGCAAGGGCCGGGCAAGACCGGUGCCAGCCGCCGCGGUAACACCGGCGGCCCGAGUGGUGAUCGUGAUUAUUGGGUCUAAAGGGUCCGUAGCCGGUUUGGUCAGUCCUCCGGGAAAUCUGACGGCUCAACCGUUAGGCUUUCGGGGGAUACUGCCAGGCUUGGAACCGGGAGAGGUAAGAGGUACUACAGGGGUAGGAGUGAAAUCUUGUAAUCCCUGUGAGGCCACCUGUGGCGAAGGCGUCUUACCAGAACGGGUUCGACGGUGAGGGACGAAAGCUGGGGGCACGAACCGGAUUAGAUACCCGGGUAGUCCCAGCCGUAAACGAUGCUCGCUAGGUGUCAGGCAUGGCGCGACCGUGUCUGGUGCCGCAGGGAAGCCGUGAAGCGAGCCACCUGGGAAGUACGGCCGCAAGGCUGAAACUUAAAGGAAUUGGCGGGGGAGCAC